UUCAUUCUGGGGAUCACCAUUAUGUUGUAAGGAAGCCCAAGCCACAGAGAGAGGCCACGGGUAGAUAGGCAUUCCAUCUGACAUCCCCAGAUACUGUUUAAAAAUUGAGAAUUUGUGGCAACCAUGCAUCAAUCAAGUGCGGGGUGUAGCAGCAAGUGCUGAUAUAGAAGCUGCAGAAAGUUACCCAGAAAAUCUAGCUAAGACAAUUAAUGAAGGUGGCUACACUAAACAAGAUUUAAUUCUAACCCUAAUUAAACAGACUUCUAUUGAAGAAGAUGCCAUCUAAAACUUUCAUAACUGGAGAAGAGAAGUCAAUGCCUGGCUUCAAAGGUCCAAAGAACAAGCUUACUCUCUUGUUGGGGGCUAAUACGGCUGGUGACCAAACUGAAGCCAAUACUCAUUAACCAUACUAAAAAUCCUAGGGCCUUUAAGAAUUAUGCUAAAUCUACUCUGCCUAUGCUCUAUAAAUGGAAAAAAAAAAAAAAAGCAUGGAUGACAAUACAUCUGUUUAUUACACGGUCUACUGAAUGUUAUAAGACCACUAUCGAGAUCUGCUCAGAAAAAAAAAAAAAAAAAGGUUCCCUUCAAAUUCUGACUACUCAUUAACAAUCCACCUAGUCACCCAAGAGCUCUGAUGGAGACAUACAAUUAAGAAUAGUGUUACUUUCGUGCCUACUACCAUGAUAUCUAUUCUAUAGCCCAUGGAUCAAGGAAUAAUAUCGACUUUCAAGUCUUAUUAAAGAAAUACACUUUGUAAGGCUAUAGCUGCCAAAGACAGCGAUUCCUUGGAUAAACCUGGACAAAGUAAACUGAAAACUUUCUGGAAAGUAUUUGCCAUUCUAGAUACCAUUAAGAACAUCUGUGAUUUGUGGGAAUAAGUCAAACAUGUAAGGAGUUGAGAAGCAGUAGAUACCAACCCUUACGGACAACUUUGAGGCAUUCAAGAUGUCAGUGGAGGAAGUAAUUGCAGAUGUGCCAGAAAUAGUAAGAGAACUAAAAUUAGAAGAGGAGCUAAAGAUGUGACUGAGCAAUCUCAGGAUAAAACUUUAAUGUAGUUACUUCUCAGGUUUGAGCAAAGAAAAUGGUUUUUAAGAUGGAAUCUACUCCUGGUGAAGAUGCUGUGAAGAUUGUUGAAAUGACAACAAAAGAUUUAGAAUAUUCCAUAAACUUAGUUGCUAAAACAGCAGCAGGAUUUAACAGCACUAACUUCAAUUUUGAAAGAAGUACUACUGUGGAUAAAAUGCUAUCAAACAGCAUUGCAUGCAACAGAGAAAUCAUUCAUAAAUGGAAGAGUUCAUCAAUAUGGCAAAUGUUACUGCUUUAAGAAAUUGUCAGGUCAUCCCAAACUUCAAUAAACACCUACCCUGGUUUAUCAGCAGCCAUCAACAUUGAGAUAAGACCCUCUACCAGCAAAAAGAUUACUACUCACUGAAAGCAAGUUCAGAUAAUGCUACCAUCUUAAAGAAAAUACAGAAAUGUGUGGUCUCUGAAGAGGGACACAGGAUGAAGAAAAAAUAUCAAGUGACUAAAAAAGAUCAAGAUACUGAGAGCAUGCUUUUUCCAGUGUUGGGUAAAUGGAGGAAUGUUUAUAGCUAAACCUAGCAAAUAAGGGAUUCGAAUGCUUUGAUAAAGAUGGCAGAUCAAGAUAAGACAACUUCCCUUUCCCAACUAAAUCUCCAGGAAGUAUUACAAAAGUCUAAACAACCAAAUCUGUAACAGUGCUGAGAAGCAAAGAGUAAGCAGACAAGAAGUUCUGAGGAAUUUCUAAGAUAUUAAAAAAAUGGAUUAGAUUUAAGGAAAAGAAUGAUAAAUAAAGAAACAAGAAAAAGAAAGCCAAAUACAGGAACUAAUGACAACCCAAAACAUAAGAUCAAUGUAAAGUAGGAGUUGUUUAAAGGUCCUCCAAGCCCUUGAAGGAAGUCAAUGCAUAUCAAGAGUGUAGAGGGCCACGCAGAAGCAUUUCUCAGGGUAAGGAAUGGGAAGACAUGUGCAACAGCAGGUAGCAAUCUUCUCUUUUCCCUGCUUGUUCCAACCAACAGAUAGCACUAAUAUUUGUACCCAUAAGAACUGUACUCAAAAGUAGCAGUGCCUUAGGAAGGCUUCCGUGCAGCCUGUUUCCAGAAGACAGCUAUCAGCUUGUCCCAUAUUGGAGCAAAGCAUUUUUUUUCAUUCAUCACCAGAGGCAGGCUAUCAUAAACAGAGUUAAAUAUCCACCAACAAGUCAACAAAGAAUUUCAAGCAGAAAUGAACAUUGAUAUGAAAAUGAAAAAUUAAGAAACAGGAAAUUUAAAAUAAA